rnacentral:misc_RNA from 1 species
GCAGAAGGAUCAUUAGUGAAGAUUCAAGGGCCAGCCAUACAGACGUACAAUAAGUGUGUCUCUGGCGGCUCGCAUCCACUAUACAUCCAUAAACCCGUGUGCACUGUUCUAAGGAGUAAGAAAGAAGAAGGGGAGGGGAGAGAGAGUGCAUGUGCUUUGCAUAUAACUCUCUCUCACUCUCCACUCUCUUUCUCUCUCCGGUUAAUUACAAACUCGUAUGGAUUUGUAUGAACGUGAGAUAUAUCGUUGGACCGUCACUGGCCAACAAAUAUAACACAACUUUCGACAACGGAUCUCUUGGUUCUCCCA